rnacentral:rRNA from 1 species
UACGGAGGGGGUUAGCGUUGUUCGGAAUGACUGGGCGUAAAGCGCGCGUAGGCGGACCGGAAAGUCGGGGGUGAAAUCCCGGGGCUCAACCCCGGAAUGGCCUUCGAAACUCCCGGUCUUGAGUUCGAGAGAGGUGAGUGGAAUUCCGAGUGUAGAGGUGAAAUUCGUAGAUAUUCGGAGGAACACCAGUGGCGAAGGCGGCUCACUGGCUCGACACUGACGCUGAGGUGCGAAAGCGUGGGGAGCAAACAGG